rnacentral:tRNA from 1 species
ACUUUAAUAGCUUAUUUAGAGCAUAAUAUUGAAGAUAUUAAGGAGAAUUAAAUUCUUAAGGUA